UCAGUCGUGUGCCCUUCCUGCUCGCGUCCUGACCCGCAGGCCCCUGUCCAGCCGCCCCGGGACUAGGACAGCGCACAGAUGCCCCACAGCCCCUGGAUGUGGUAAACGCUCCGCCUCGCCGGGCGAUCCACGCGCAGGAGGGCGAGUCCCGUCCCCACGCUCUCUGGGGCAGCCCUGGACGGGAGUCCUGCUCCUUCCGGGAGGGACCCGGGCCCCGAGGUGCAGAGACCACAGCUGUCCUCAGCUGCAUGAGGACAGCCCCUGGCUGCAGACCCCCGAGGACGCCUCAGGUCCAGCCCAGCCCGCCUGACUGAGAUUCUCGCCCACAACAACUGUCGCCAGCUCCCUCUUCCCCUUUCUCUGAGGGCCAUCAGCCCCGGGUCAGAGAACGCAUGGGGUCCUUGAGUCCCCCUGAGCCCGCCCCACGUCCAUCCCUCAGAGUCCUGUGGGUCCCACCGGCACCUCCCGCUGGGCUCCACCCCCGCCAGGAUCUGCUAUCCUCAUAGCCCUCCAUCCCCGCUGUCCCCACUGUCCCCGCCUCUCCCAAGUCAGCCAGGCUCUGUCCCAGCUUUGCCUCCGGGGCUGAUGCGCAUAACGGUGCCUCUCCUCCCGCCCCACUGCUUCCUCAGUCCCCCGCGGUUCUCAGACAGGGUCCCGUGUCACCCCACACCUGCCCCCCCUUUUUCUAUUCCUCCCCCUCACCCCCAGUUCAGCGGCUCCAAGCGCUCCGCUCAGGCCAUUAAGCGGUACUCGCGCUUCUCCCUUUGGUGAUCUCAGCAUCUGGGGGCUUCGAUUCGACAUUUCAGUGGAGGGCUCCCGGGUGUAAUUUCCCGCCUCCCCCAUCCUGCGGCCCCGCAUUCCCAGCUGCCCUCUGGGAACGGGCCCCCCCGGCUCUCACUGACACCUGUCACCCGCCUUACUCAGGGAGGCCCCCAAGUGCACCCGCCAUGGGUCUCCACACGUCCCGGUUCUUCUCUUCCCCGGGCGCUCUGUGCCUUCCUCCGUCUGCCGACUGCUCCUGGGCCCUGUUGUGCGGGAUCAGGGGUCCAGGGAAGGAAAUGGAAACCAAAACCCCGCCGAGGUAGCCCCGCAAGCUCACUGGGAUGGCUUGUAUAUAUUUAGAACAUUGUUUAGGGAAAGUAACAGGUGCCGGGCGCAAGUGGAGAAACUGGAACCCUAAUUAAUGCAGGGGCGGGGCGAGCGUAAAUCGGGUGGCAGUUCCCCAGAAAGUGAGCCCAGAAUCGCUCACUGAGCCGCCCGUCCCAGCGCCCCGCGCGCGGGAAGAAGGACGCGGCGACGCCAGCGCGGUG